rnacentral:lncRNA from 1 species
CUCAAAUAUUUGAGCUUUAACUUGACCCCUUUUUGGAGGAAAUCUUGGAGUUGGAAGGUUAGAAGAAGCGUACGCACUCAGUGGUGGACUGGUAGUGAAGGAAGUCGAGCUGUCGCUACCGCCGCCGCCUCCUUUGAUUUUAGCCAGUACUUCCCCUGCUUUUGAGAUCGCGAAGGAUACAUAAUUAGAAUACGCAUCUGAAGCGUACGCACUCAGUGGUGGACUGGCAGUGAAGGAAGUCGAGCUGUCGCUACCGCCGCCGCCUCCUUUGAUUUUAGCCAGUACUUCCCCUGCUUUUGAGAUCGGGAAGGGUACAAUCUCGGAAAAGCUCUCAAAUAUUUGAGCUUUAACUUGACCCCUUUUUGGAGGAAAUCUUGGAGUUGGAAGGUUAGAAGAAGUAGAUGCCAUCAACUAUGGAGGAUGAUCUGGAGAAAAAAAGUAGCGAAUUUUAUAAAUUUAGUAUCCACGGAUCAAAUUUUGAUUAUCAGAUGUGUUAAAGAUUGAACCGGGUUGACGGGGGUGGUGAAAGAAACCCCCGAGGUGCACAGGGGUGGUGCUGGCGUGCUGCUGAAUGAAUAUGAAGAAAAGGGUGUG